AUUGAACGCUGGCGGCAGGCCUAACACAUGCAAGUCGAGCGGGGUUUUCGGACCUAGCGGCGGACGGGUGAGUAAUGCGUAGGAAGCUACCCGAUAGAGGGGGAUACCAGUUGGAAACGACUGUUAAUACCGCAUAAUGUCUACGGACCAAAGUGUGGGACCUUCGGGCCACAUGCUAUCGGAUGCGCCUACGUGGGAUUAGCUAGUUGGUGGGGUAAUGGCUCACCAAGGAGACGAUCCCUAGCUGGUUUGAGAGGAUGAUCAGCCACACUGGAACUGAGACACGGUCCAGACUCCUGCGGGAAGCAGCAGUGGGGAAUAUUGGACAAUGGGCGCAAGCCUGAUCCAGCCAUGCCGCGUGUGUGAAGAAGGCCUUCGGGUUGUAAAGCACUUUCAGUAGGGAGGAAGGGUGUUGUGUUAAUAGCACAGCAUUUUGACGUUACCUACAGAAGAAGCACCGGCUAACUCUGUGCCAGCCGCCGAGUAACAC
rnacentral:rRNA from 1 species